AAAAAAUCAGUCUUUUUUAUUUCUUUAGUAUUUUAAACACUCAAAAAACUCACUGUUAAAUAAAAUAAAUAGUUAUGUAUGACGAAGAUGGGAGAUACCACAGAAAGAUUUUCAGAGCACCGCGACGUUUGGACCUAACGCCUUAAAAGGCCUAUACCAUCGUUUCUCAACCUGAGGUUCGCAAUGUGACAAAAGGUCACAUAUAUCAGAAAUUAUUAAACGCUAAUAUACAAUUUGUAUUUAUAAUUUUUUUUAAAUUUAAAGUUCAAUAAUUUAAUUUGAUAAGAUGGCUGUGUUUGUUUAACAUUUAAAAGCAAUAUUAGUGAUAUAACAUUCGUUUACAUUUCUUUUUCAUAUGAAGUGUGGGUAUGCUAUUUAUUUGCUUAAUACGCAAUUUAAUAUUCGUAACUGGUUAAACCGAUAAUUAGGCUCAAAUUAGUAUUUACGACAAGGGGGUCGUGAGGUGAUUGACUUUAUUUUUUACCUGUUUCAGGGGUCACAAGAUUAAAAAGGUGGAGAAGCGAAGCCUUAGACAAUAGUCCAUAUUAUAGUUACAGCUAUAAUAUAUACACUGCGUAUUAGCAUUUACAAUUUUUUACAUUCUCUCCUUCCACUCAGAAUUCAAAAAAAUACCUCAGAAUGGAUUCAUUACUAGUUUACGGUAUUCCAGGGAAUUGGAACAGGAUUAACCGUUGCAGGGAAUUUCUGGAAGCGACAACCUUAGCUGAUUUUGACAAUGCUAACUUAACCUAACCUAACUGCUGAAGCUAAGAGUAUGAAAUUUGGUAGCUUCGUUUUAUAAUGCAAGAGCAAAAUAAGGCAGAAAUUUAAAUAAUUCGCAUUUUUAAAGAGGUCCACAAACAAGGAUUUUAAGAUUCACAGGGGAAAUUGAAAUUUUUUUGUUUAUAAAUGGUUGCCAUUGUUUACUUAGGCAAAUAAGAUAAAAACAUGUAUCAAAUCGUCGCGUUUAAAAUGGCUCCGUUUAAACAAACUAUAUCUUAAAAUAUUACCUUUUAAGUAAUUUGAUUACAUUGUAUAGUAAGUUAUUUGUAUUUAAUUUAAGUUAUUUUUUAGUCAAAUUACUAAGUUACUCGUUACUCUAU